AGUGAACGCUGGCGGUAGGCCUAACACAUGCAAGUCGAACGGCAGCACAGUAAGGGCUUGCUCUUACGGGUGGCGAGUGGCGGACGGGUGAGGAAUACAUCGGAAUCUACUUUUUCGUGGGGGAUAACGUAGGGAAACUUACGCUAAUACCGCAUACGACCUACGGGUGAAAGCAGGGGAUCUUCGGACCUUGCGCGAUUGAAUGAGCCGAUGUCGGAUUAGCUAGUUGGCGGGGUAAAGGCCCACCAAGGCGACGAUCCGUAGCUGGUCUGAGAGGAUGAUCAGCCACACUGGAACUGAGACACGGUCCAGACUCCUACGGGAGGCAGCAGUGGGGAAUAUUGGACAAUGGGCGCAAGCCUGAUCCAGCCAUACCGCGUGGGUGAAGAAGGCCUUCGGGUUGUAAAGCCCUUUUGUUGGGAAAGAAAAGCAGCAGGUUAAUACCCCGCUGUUCUGACGGUACCCAAAGAAUAAGCUCCGGCUAACUUCGUG
rnacentral:rRNA from 1 species